GGACACACUGGUGGUGGCUGCUGGGAUCGAACCAGCAACCUUUGAGUUACCAGUUCAGUGGUUUAACCCGCUAGACCACCAUCUCACCAUAUAUUUAUACACAGGUAUGUGCAAUCCCCUGGGAUCGAACCCACAACCUUGUGUUGUUAACACAAUGCUCUUACAGGAAAACAGGAAAGCUUCUUAUAUGUUCUGCAGGAGAAAGAAAGUCACACAGAUUUGGAAUGACAUGAGGAGUCAAGGGUCGAGUCUCUUUCCUGUGGAGGUGCAAGUCGAACCCCUUUGUGCCGUAUUGAUUGUCAACUUGGGUGCCACUGCGUGUUAUUUUCCAUCGCCAUCUCCAGAUGCUGCAGCUUCUGAGCAGACCACUCGCUCUCGCCCGGCGGGGCGUCCCUCUGCACCACGUUGCUCCCGGCGAUGUGGUCCCCACCGCCCUGACAGCCCUCCAU